rnacentral:rRNA from 1 species
GGAAGUUUAAGGCAAUAACAGGUCUGUGAUGCCCUUAGAUGUCCUGGGCUGCACGCGCGCUACACUGAUGCGUUCAUCGAGUUUAUCCUUGGCCGAGAGGCCUGGGUAAUCUUUAGUACGCAUCGUGAUGGGGAUCGAUUAUUGCAAUUGUUAAUCGUGAACGAGGAAUGCCUAGUAUGCGCAAGUCAUCAGCUUGUGCAGAUUACGUCCCUGCCCUUUGUACACACCGCCCGUCGCUCCUACCGAUCGAGUGAUC